rnacentral:lncRNA from 1 species
UUUUUUUUCAUAACAUUAGAAACAUUAAAUAUUAUUGCAAUAUAACAAAAUUUAAAAAAUAUAUAAUCUUAGGAUAUGCCAAUUCUGACCUUGCUAUUAUCAUGUGGAGAAAGGAUAAAAGUUGCUUUCAUUUACUGCAUGUGAAGUCUAAUUAAAAAUAAAAAAAAGCUCCUUCUGGAAACUCACAUUUUAGUCACUUAAUAAUGGAGGAUUUACAAUUAAAGGAUAAUUUACCAUUUUGAUACUAAGGCUAGAUUUCCAUCAAUUCUUUGACCUAUAUACUUUGUAGCACUGAUCACACAGAAGGUACUCUUAUCAGAAAGCCUUUCCUUGGAAGGUUUAGGUUGCUUAUAGGCCAGAAUUUUAGCCUUAGUCACCAUUCAGUCAUAUCGCUGUGAAUCAAGUCAUAUUUGACAUAUUUGACAGUUACUCCCAUAAAGUGAACUAAUUUUCCAAUUUUCUCUAAUGGAUUUUGGGGGGGGGGGGCAUGCCCACAGCAUUCUGAAGUUUCAGGGCCAGGGAUCAAACCCCCACCACAGCAGGGGCAAUGCCAGAUCCUUAACCUACUAAGCCACCAGGGAACUGGUUUUUAACACAUUUUUGAGGUGGGAGUGUCAUUUGGCCAAAUGUACACAACUAUUCAACUUAUUCAAUGUAUAUUACUGAUUUCCUACUAUUUUUUUCAGGCACUGAUCUAUGUAAUAGGGAAAAAGCACUGGCUAAAACAUCCUAAAUUUCUAUCACAUCAGAUUUCAUUUAAUUACAUUUUAAUAAUCUUUAUCAUUGCAUAGCUCCUAAGAAACUCCAACUCCUCCUAAAUAUGAUCUCAACAUACAAGUGUUUUAGGUAUCAAUUCAUUAUAGGUAUUUAAUAAACCAAACAUCAAACUCUAAAACAAAACAUAAACUGACAGGGGUGCUAGCCAGAAAAAGGGAACAGAACAGAGUAGCUGGUAACAGCUUGGGCUUUGCCUUAGAAAAAAUGUAGGCUUGUGUUCUAAUUUUCUUCCUUAUCUUAGGAUUUUACUGAGGUAUUUCUUAAAUCUCCAAAGUCAUCAGUUUUUCUUUCUGCUUUUUGACUUAAUAAUUCAUUUUCAGGGUUGUGUUGAGGAUUCCGUAAUUCUAUAAAAUAGUUUAAUUUUCACCAUGCAGCAAUUAAUUGAGAUAAUAAGGAUGAUAAAAAGAGGUACUCACUACCUACUCCCUCCUUUAAAAACUUUAAAAUCUAAUUUGAGAUGCAAAGUUCAAUAAAACAUCAAAGACACAUGAAAUCACUAUUUUACUUUCAACACAAAAAUCACAUAAUUCUGCUUUUCUAAGUGAAGUAUGAAAUUAGGUGCUAUGGAUAAAUUAUUCCUGAUAAGUUUCUACUGCUUCAGAAUUACACUAUAGAUUAAAAAAAAACAGAAAAGCUAAACCUUAGCACUUAGCAUUUAGUAUUUUUUUUCUUUUUACAAUUGCACCUGCAGCAUAUAGAAGUUCCCAGGCUAGGGGUCGAGUGGAAGCUGCAGCUGCUGACUAUACCAUAGCCAUGGUAACAGCCAGAUCUGAGCUGCAUCUGCAACCUAUGUUGCAGGCUGCAGCAAACCUGGAUCCUUAACCCACUGAACAAGGCCAGGGACUGAACCCAAAUCCUCAAUGACAAUAUGUAGGUUCUCAACUUGCUGAGCCAAAAUGGGAACUCCAGUAUUAGUAUUCUGUAAAGUCAUUUAAAGAAAUGCAUGCCUUUUGGAUAGAAAAUGUAAUUAAUCAUGUGAGGGCUAAGAUUGUCAUCCGGGGCCCAUUUUGGACAUGCUGCCUUGGUUGGAUCUAAAAUUGCAGGACUCUGGGCAGCUAAAGAGGUUCAGUGGCAUGUGGAUGAAAAAUGAGAGGGUUAUCCUCUGUAAUAUUACACAGACUGAGAAACUUUAAAGCAAGCCGUUAUUUUCAUGCCCAUAAAUUGUUUUGCAUCAUGUAAUAACGAGGUACCAGAAAUUACAUCUUAUUUUCCACUCAAUGCCAUUCAGAUUUUUUGGCUGCCUCCUAGAUUCAUGUCAAGGGGAUGGAAUUAAACAGCUUGUGUGUGCAGUGAUUUUCAGUCUCUUCCUGGCACCAAAUCUCUAAAAUGAUCAAUGAUCAAUGAUAACUGCCUAUCUUUCAGUGAGCAAGUCUCCAGCAGGCGGAUAGUCAGCAGCAAACGGGACACCGGUCUGACUGAUUUGAAAGCUUAAGUGAAGGUUAAGAGUCUGUUCAAUCCGUGGAGCUUUCUGGAGGAUUGCAAACAUUAUUUACCAUAAUGUUAACAUCUCAGUGGGCUGGCAUUUUGGCACAGAAAGAGAUUUGAGGUGUUUCCUAUUCCAAAAUUCUCAUUAGUCAAAAGAAUGUUUUGUGUAGUUGCUCUUAUUAUCAAUACAAUCCAUAUAAGAUUUCUAGGGGCUAUUUGCUUAUUUAUGUUCCUAAAUCCUAUCAUAUCUUUACAGAGAUCAGCAAGGAAUGAGAUUUUUUGUUUGUUUUGUUUUUUUUGUUUUUGUCUUUUGCCUUUUCUAGCACCGCUUCCCACAGCGCAUGGAGGUUCCCAGGCUAGGGGUCCAAUCAGAGCUGUAGCCACUAGCCUACACCAGAGCCUCAGCAGCGCAGGAUCUGAGCCGCGUCUAUGACCUACACCACAGCUCACGACAACGCCGGAUCCUUAACCCACUGAGCAAGGUCAGGGAUGGAACCCACAACCUCAUGGUUCCUAGUCGGAUUCGUUAACCACUCACCACGACGGGAACUGCAAGGAAUGGGAUUUUGAGGAGUUUUUGAGCUAUUUGAGACCUGAGACAAACAACCCUUGUUUAGAAAAUAUUUAACAAAGAGAAAGUUCUGAGAGCAACUCAGGUUCUGACAAUUUUCCCAAGUGAAAUAUCCCAAGACCCAGAAUUUCUCUGUUGGAUCAAACAUAUAAUGACCCAUCUAGAGAAAGUGGUUUUAGACCUUAACAGUCAGUGGUUUUUACCAGCUAGAAUAUUUGUUUAGUAGAUAAGCAAAUAAACUCAAAGUAAAACAAUUUAGCUGUAAUUUUGUAGACUGAAAUCUCGAGGGUACAGCCAUCUGCUAUAUAUUGUUGAAGAUGGUUUAAAGGACUUUCCCAUUUGGAAAGUGAUAUGAAGCAUACUCUUGGAAAUAGAACUAAUUGAAAAGGGAGUUUAAGGAAGAAG